UACGAAGGGGGCUAGCGUUGUUCGGAUUUACUGGGCGUAAAGCGCACGUAGGCGGAUUUUUAAGUCAGGGGUGAAAUCCCGAGGCUCAACCUCGGAAUUGCCUUUGAUACUGGAAGUCUUGAGUUCGGAAGAGGUGAGUGGAAUUGUGAGUGUAGAGGUGAAAUUCGUAGAUAUUCACAAGAACACCGGUGGCGAAGGCGGCUCACUGGUCCGAAACUGACGCUGAGGUGCGAAAGCGUGGGGAGCAAACAGG
rnacentral:rRNA from 1 species